GACGAACGCUGGCGGCGUGCUUAACACAUGCAAGUCGAACGGACAGGCCCUGCUUUUGUUGGUUGCUCGAUUGGCGAACGGGUGAGUAACACGUGAGUAACCUGCCCUUGACUUUGGGAUAACUUCAGGAAACUGGGGCUAAUACCCCAUAGGAUCUUCUGCUGCAUGGUGUGGGUUGGAAAGUUUCGGCGGUUGUGGAUUGACUCGCGGCUUAUCAGCUUGUUGGUGUGGUAGUGGCUUACCAAGGCUUUGACGGGUAGCCGGCCUGCGAGGGUUAACGGACACAAUGGGACUGAGAUACGGCGCAGAAGCCUACGGGAGGCAGCAGUGGGGAAUAUUGCAGAAUGGGCGGAAGACUGAGGCAGCAACGCCGAGUGCGGGAUGACGGACUACGGGUUGUAAACAGAUGUGGACGGUGACGAAGCGUGAGUGACGGUAAUGGGUAAAAAAGCAACGGCUAACUACGUG
rnacentral:rRNA from 1 species